GCCAGGAGCCUACAGGCUUCAUCUUGUGCUCCCUGAGGACCAACUAAUUCACUUGGAGCAGGGCCGGGCGGCUAAUGAAGAGAGCAGGCAGCAACCGCCCCACCCUACUGAACCCUACGUGCAGCUGGCCAGUGUGGCAUUCCUGGGACGCCUCUUCCCCAACCCCACUCACCAGGGUUUAGUAACCACUACUAUGUGAUGCUCUAUGGGUUCCAAAUCUGCCCGAAAUCCUCUGCCAGAGAAGGACUCAACUAACAGGAAAGACACCAAAGACAACACCCGACUUCCACCCACCAGAGACCCCAGGCCAGGGCUCCUUAUGGCUACCUGAAAGGCAAGAACUGUCCAGGAGGCCCAUUUUACAGGUGACAGGUCACCUGGCUGUGUACCUGGAGGAAGGCUGUGUUUCUCCCUUUCCCUUACAGUAUGUGGUCACUUUGUUGGUGUGACUGGCCAGAUAUCCUGCUGAUCUUGCUGAGUGCCUGUUGGGCAUGCCCCAAGGGCUGCUGUGAAAAUGAGGAAGUACGUGCCCGCUCCCAGGAAUGGUGUGACUUUAGACAAGCUCAACUGCUCUGAACUUGUUGCCUCACCUGCUAAAUGGGGGAGUUAGUGCACUGACCUGGAGCUUCAGCCAGGUAUGGGGAUACAUGCCUGUAAUCCCAGCACUUGGGAGGCUAAGACUAGAGGAUCACAAGUUCAAGACUUGCCUGGGCUACAGAGGGGAGAGCCUAUCUCAAAAUAAAAUAAGCACAGUUGUAGUGUGCUUGCCUAGUAUGCGACCCUAGGUUUAAUCCCAAAAAAUCAGAAAAAGAAAAAGAAAUGGAGGAUGAAAGCCUUGGGCCCAUGGCAGCUGUUCUAAAGUACUUCGGCCUUCUAGCAGGGCUCUGUCCUGUGCUUCCUGUCCCCAUGACCCAGUUCCUGCAGCAUUUGGACUGGCAGCAGCUUCCCCAGACUCAGAAUAAUUUACAACUUCUGGCACGCAUGCCUUGUUUGCUUCACACAGACCCCAAACUCGCACACAGGUGACUUGAUUUUCCAACAUCCAAAUUCAAAUACCUGGUCCAGGCAAACCGAUAUACUUAGGGCGUGGAAGGGGCCGAGGUUUGAAGCAAGUCCUUGUCCAACUCUCCAGCUUCCAGCCUUGGCACAUUUGACCACCUGGGGGAGCCCUCUGUCCCCUUCAGUCAGAAAAGUGGGGGAGGGGUAUGGGGGAAGCCAGGCUGAGUGUUAACUCAUCGUUGCUAACCCUCCCCCAAGAUCCAGGGUUUUGGACAAAGAUACCUGGGGUGGGCUGGGGCAGGUGACUUUCUUGGGCACAGUGGAAUCAGAAGGAGCAUGCUGCUGUGUGCCAUGCCUGUCAAAAUGGGCCCACCUGCGCUUGAGAAGAGUAAUGCACUGUGUGUGGGAUCCCUCAAAUCAGCCCAGAUGCCUGGAGCCCUGUGAAGCUCUGAGAAGCACAGCCUGGGUUCUUUGGCCUUUUGCUGCCCCUGAAGUGGGUGAAGGAACCACCAGACGGAGUUCCAGCUUGUGUACAGCAACUGCACAAGACCUGGGAGGUAGCCUCCAUGUCAUCAUCCUCAGUCCCAAGGAUCCCCAGACCUCUGCAGCCGGAGAAACAGAUGGUCUGCUCACCCUCCCUUAUUGUGCCACAGUAAAUAAACCCCAUUGCCCAAGGCU